GAUCAGAUGGCGGAGUGGUUAAGGCGAUGGACUGCUAAUCCAUUGGAGUUUCCUCGCUUGAGUUCGAAUCUAAUCCUGAUCG
rfam:Angiostrongylus costaricensis strain Costa Rica genome assembly, scaffold: ACOC_scaffold0002506